CAUUCAGAGCAUCAGUGUCAAGUUGUCUUGCAAUUUGAAAUCAUUUACAAUGCAAUACUUUAUUUUCACUUUCUUAAUUGUGUUGGCAGCUUUGAGCUGUAUGACCGUCACAGCUGAAUUUGACAGAAUUAAAUCUGAGGCUGCUCACGGUACAUUGAGAAUGGUCUUCGACCUUUUAGGAAAAGUUAUAGAGAACUUUGAUAUUUAAUUGAAAAAUUCAAGUCUUUGAAAAAUAAGCAUCUUUGUGAACUUGAAUUUAAAAAAUGUUUUCAAUAAUCGUAUGGCAAUAUGAAAUUUGUAAUUGAUAAUAAACUGGAAUUAUUGUUUGCUUUGUAAUGUUCAUCAAGAAUAAAUAAAAAA